rnacentral:rRNA from 1 species
UACAGAGGUGGCAAGCGUUGUUCGGAAUUACUGGGCGUAAAGGGCGCGUAGGCGGCCAUCUAAGUCAGACGUGAAAUCCCCCGGCUUAACCUGGGAACUGCGUCUGAUACUGGAAGGCUUGAGUAUGGGAGAGGGAUGUAGAAUUCCAGGUGUAGCGGUGAAAUGCGUAGAUAUCUGGAGGAAUACCGGUGGCGAAGGCGGCAUCCUGGACCAUUACUGACGCUGAGGCGCGAAAGCGUGGGGAGCGAACAGG